AUGGAUCUAUCUUUCUAUUUAGAUAUCUUUUGCAAUCAGCCCCAAAUCCUUGAUUUGGCCAGGAAACAAAGCGCUGCUUUGGGCCCAGGAAGCGAAGGGAAUGAGCUCGGCUGCUUAGCCCCCCCCCACACACACACUUCUUUAUUUCUCCGUUCCCCUUCUGCAUGUGCUUCGCGCACCAUUGGCGCUUUGCUCUCCUCUUAUUUCUUCAUUGGAGGGUUCGAAUGGACUUUGCCGUUCUUUCCCCAUGAAAAUGGAAAGGGAUGUAUCACAUCAAGAUGUCGAUUCAUUUUCCGCCCCAAAUGA
rnacentral:rRNA from 1 species